AGAACCGGUGUGGCGCUCUGAAGGGAAAGGAAGCUCACCGGGGUAGCCCCUCACGCUACGCAACAUUCACAGAUCGGAAUAAAGUCAAUUUGUUACCUUCUGUUUUUGUAAAAUCUAAAGGAAUCGGCUUUUAUGAGCCGUAUGCUAGUAUUUUGGGGCCUGGUUAGCACAUUUUCUAUGAAUUAUCCACACGCUAACUUUAGCAAACUAUACGUUAAAUACAAUGUGAACUGUCUGUCCUAGUUCUGUGGAAAUAGAGUAAUGCUCUUAAUUCAUCUUGCCGCUGGUUGGCUUCACAUAUCAAACUGGAGUAUUCUAUGAGCAAAGUUAUGCAAACUAACUAAACUGGUUGGGAAGCAAUCUAUCGAACUUCGACAAUAAUAAUUAAGGUUUACAUUUUUAUAGUAAGGUCUCUUCAAGAUUGCUGCGUUUAAAAUAAAUACCGAAUAAAA
rnacentral:lncRNA from 1 species